UCACCGGUGCCUUGCUGGGAACCCACCCCCAUUGCCCUUGCGGAUGAAGGCAUUUCUAUUUUUCGGCUUCGGAAUUUCAUUGAUGUCCAUCACCUGAAUCGUCCUCUUAAAUUUACCAUUUUGUGCUUCCUGGUAAUUCUCCUGGAGUCUCUUCCUCGCAGAGUCCAGCCUUUCAAGGUCAAGAUGACUGUCCUUCUGUCUGGUUGCAUCCUUACAGCUGGAGCAGAAGAUGAAGUAGUAGAAUGGUGGGUGUUGUUGAUCUGCCUUGCAUUAUGAUGCGCUGGCGCAGGGCUUGCUCUAUGUUUUGUCGCUGCUAUCGACGCGAUCCCAUUGCUAACCCUCUCUGAGCU
rnacentral:sRNA from 1 species